UGAGGAAUAUUGCGCAAUGGGGGCAACCCUGACGCAGCGACGCCGCGUGAGUGAGGAAGGCCUUCGGGUCGUAAAGCUCUGUCAAAGGGAAAGAAAUGCAUAAUGGCUAAUACCUGUUAUGUUUGACGGUACCCUUAAAGGAAGCACCGGCUAACUCCGUGCCAGCAGCCGCGGUAAUACGGAGGGUGCCAGCGUUGUUCGGAAUUACUGGGCGUAAAGGGCGCGUAGGCGGUGUUAUAAGUCAGAUGUGAAAGCCCACGGCUUAACUGUGGAAGGGCAUUUGAAACUGUCAGACUGGAUAACCAGAGGGGAAAGUGGAAUUCCCGGUGUAGAGGUGAAAUUCGUAGAUAUCGGGAGGAAUACCGGUGGCGAAGGCGACUUUCUGGCUGGAUACUGACGCUGAGGCGCGAAAGCGUGGGGAGCAAACA
rnacentral:rRNA from 1 species